GCGUUAGUAAAUCCGUUGGC
rnacentral:tRNA from 2 species